UAUAUAUAUAUAUAUAUAUAUAUGUGUGUGUGUGUGUGUGUGUGUGUGUGUAUAUAUAUAUAUAUAUAUAUAUAUACACAAGGUGGAAGGACAUGUCUCCCCCAACCGGGGCAAUGUGGGCACUCUUCAGGGCACGAAAUCAAGUGCACCCUUUGUCUCAUUCUGUGACGUCUGGCAGCCAGAUGGUGUAACACUGAUGUAACUGUCACACAACAGAACAUUCCGGGGCUCGUGGCAUCGCUGCAGAGCCGUUUGGCAGUGAGAGAUGUAUUAUAUCCUGUCGACCAGAUAAACAAGCUCACUGUACAAAUAUAACGAAGAAAAAAAAAUCACUUCAUUUAUACUUCUAUUUAUUACCAAAACUUUUUUUUUUCCUUCUUUCAUAGCUUGCCCUGCCUGACAAACACUCUGUGCAUGCAUUUAGCUAGACACGUAGAGAUGCAUUUUUAGUAAAAGAAAAUUUUAAAAUGCAGUGUUGCACUUUUUUGUUUGUUUUUGUCUUAUUUCUGUUUCCAACCAAUACCUCCAGGAAUAAAAAAAAAAAAAAAAAAAAACAUAACGAUAACAUAAUGUGAGCUAAACGAGAAGAUCAGGAACAGCACAGUUACUAGAGUUUGUGCAAACAGGCCGCUAUGGAAAAGCUUUGAGUUGCUUUCACUUCAGUCUGCGUGUAUAAAUGAUGCCAUUUCAAAUGAUCCGAGGCAAUUAUUAUAAAUAAACCACUUUAUUUAGAGCUAAUCUAAGAAACUGAGCUUCAAGGGGUCAUGUGAACAUUGCUGUGAAGAACACUCACAGUGACAAGCAAGCUGUGUGUUUAAAAAGGAAACUCCAAGUGUUUUCUUUCCUUUUUUUUUUUUUUUAAUGACUCCACAUUUCUAAGGUUAAAUAUGGUGCAAAAAUAUCCUUCCAGGUUUCCAUGGGGCAUAAAAUCUGGUAGAUCAGAUCAGAAUUGCUUUUAGAAACUCAAAUUCAGUGAUGCAAUAUCUUCAAUCAUAAUUGUUAGUGUUAGGGGGGAAAAAAUCUUAUUUCAAAAUAUAUGAAGUUGAUUCAUUCAUGGGCUGGAAAUCUUUUUGUGUUGUAUAAUGGACAAAAAUAGUCCAUGGUAAAAAAAAUUGUAAAAAAUUCACAGACAGUCCACAACAUUAAAUGUAACUGUAAAUGGAUAAUAAAAAUGGAAUCAAUAAAAAUGGUCUUAAAUCUUUGGCAAAUUGAUCUGGUAUAAGAGAAAUGAAAUGCUUAGGGAUAUGUGUCAGGCCACAUUACACCUCUAUCGUUGUUGAUUAUUUUCCUAUAACAUCAUACCAUGUUAUAUUUUAUUCCUUACUGAGCCAACUUUAUGAAAAUGUGCCUGAAUGAAAGGCUUAAUAAAGGUGUCUGGAGAAGCUUAAAUAUAAAUGUAGAUGUUUGCUUUUGGAAAUAGUAGUGAAGUAAAAAUGAAAUACUUUUAUAAUAUAUUUUAUAGUACAGGGAGGUAUGGUGGUUUACUGGUUAGAACAUUUGCCUCGCACCCCCGGGGUUGGGGGUUCAAAUCCCGCUUCUGCCCUGUAUGUGUUGCAUAUUCUCCCUGUGCUUCGGGGGUUUCCUCCUGGUACUGCAGUUUCCUCCCCCAGUCCAAAGACAUGCAUUAUAGGCUGAUUGGCUUUUCCAAAUUGUACAUGGUGUGUGAAUGUGUGUGAUUACACCCUGUCCAGGUUGCCCCCUGCCUUGUACCCCGAGUUCACUGGGCUAGUCUCCAGGCUCCUGCUCGUGCGACCCUGUGUAGAAUAAACGGUAUGAAAAGAUGGAUGGAUGUAUUUUAUAAUACAGUCACCUACAGUAUUUCAUCUAUUUACAAUCACUGUCAUUGGUCAUUUUUAUUCACAUAAGUUGAACUGUAUUUAAGUUCUCUGGCUGCACAAACCUGUCUGAGGCCAUUUUUGCACCAUGACAUACACUGGAAACUUUGUUUUCACAAAAUGAAGUGCUGUGAAACGUUCAGAAAAAUAUGGACAAUGGGAUUUUCCUUUAGAAACACUACAGUUUUAGAUCUACUUUACCAGGCAUAUUUCACUAUAUGUGAGCUAGUGAGGAUGAUUUCAUUUCCUGUGCUUUUUAUAUGCUGUCACCGUCUAAACGAGUCCACGGUUGGACCGCUAAAACAAUACGCGCACGAGUUUGAAACACUUCAGCUUUUCUAGUCGAGUUCGUUUACUGCCAGAAUCUCGUCUCACUCAUGAAUGAACAGCUCCAGAGUCAACACUGAGAAUGUGUUUGUGUAGAAGAGAGAGGUUUGUGAAGUAGGAAUGUAGGAUGAUAUAGACUUAUACACUGACAUUUUAGACUUAUACACUGCUAUAGACUCUUACUGAUGUUAUUCUAAUGAAUGCAGUGCGAUGAGAGAUGGCUCGAGAAUAAAGAAAUCAGUAUACUGUAUGUAGGGGAUGUUAUUAGCACAGGAAUCUUUCUUCAGGUACAGUGGGUGGGUUGGAGUAAGAGCUCCAUUGCUCUCUGUCUGAUAUGUGGGGCUGAAGGGUGGGGGUUGGGUUAAAGAUUGUGUUAUAAUUUUGGGUUUCUUGGCACAAUGUACUAGAUGUAAGCUAAAUACAGAAUCUUAUUAUUAAACUAUGUUAAUGAAAUGCUUUGAAGGGAAGUGUGGGGGGUGUGCUUAUGUGAAAUAAUGUUAGGAUUCGGCUGUUGCCUUGACAACACAGCCAGAAAGCAGUUGGAUGGGCUUUAAGAGUUGGGGCGGAGCUUAAAGAUUAUAGCCUGCCCUCUUGACAAGGUUCUGAUUUAUGGAAAAAAAAAAACAACAACAACAACUUUUGUCCCGUCUCUCUCCCUCUUGAACUUGCUGCUUUGACAAUUAAAUGUGUAAAAGGUUUCAUUGGUAUUUAUUUAUUUAUUUAUUUAUUUAUUUAUUUAUUUAUUUGACUGAAGGAACUUUAUUCCAUUUUGUUUUCAUUUAUAUAUUUAUGUACGAAUGCUAGGUUUUGUUUCCCUCAUUCUUUAUUUCAGACAUUAAUAUGUAUGUAUAAAUAAGGCUUAUUGGGGCUUUUUCUCUCUUUCUCCUUUUUUCAAUUUUACAAUAAAAAACUUUAAAUGAACUCCGAAAUCUUGUGUCACGCUCAUUUUUUUUUGUUCCACAACCUGCUGUGUUUUACAAGAUAGUAGACAUUUAUUUGAUCAAAUUGCUCCUGAUCAGCAUUUGAAGUAAAAACUGGAGAAAAAAAAAAAAAAAGAAUUACGUACAAUCCUACAGGAAGUGGCUGCAACAUUUCCGACGUUGAAAGCGGUUAAGCUUUUCUGACAAAUCAGAAAAUCUGACAAAUCAGGUUACAAGUUGGGAGGGCAAGCUAGAGAAACAAGGUGAAACAUUUGUCUUGUUAGUGAGCGAAUAUAAAGAUAUUUAUGAAAAUAUGUAUUACCUAUAUUACAUUGCAACAUUGUUAAAUAACUAAAAUAAAUAAAUAAAGUUUCUAUUUGGGACAUUCCCCAGUAUGAAUACGUCCCACUUUACCUGUGUGGCUGCAUACAGUGAAGUUGCACAAGCAGCUCAAACUCUUUUGAU
ensembl:lncRNA